CCUACGGGAGGCAGCAGUGGGGAAUCUUGCGCAAUGGGCGAAAGCCUGACGCAGCCAUGCCGCGUGAAUGAUGAAGGUCUUAGGAUUGUAAAAUUCUUUCACCGGGGACGAUAAUGACGGUACCCGGAGAAGAAGCCCCGGCUAACUUCGUGCCAGCAGCCGCGGUAAUACGAAGGGGGCUAGCGUUGCUCGGAAUUACUGGGCGUAAAGGGAGCGUAGGCGGAUAGUUUAGUCAGAGGUGAAAGCCCAGGGCUCAACCUUGGAAUUGCCUUUGAUACUGGCUAUCUUGAGUUUGGGAGAGGUGAGUGGAACUCCGAGUGUAGAGGUGAAAUUCGUAGAUAUUCGGAAGAACACCAGUGGCGAAGGCGACUCACUGGCCCAAUACUGACGCUGAGGCUCGAAAGCGUGGGGAGCAAACAGGAUUAGAUACCCUGGUAGUCCACGCCGUAAACGAUGAGUGCUAGUUGUCGGCAUGCAUGCAUGUCGGUGACGCAGCUAACGCAUUAAGCACUCCGCCUGGGGAGUACGGUCGCAAGAUUAAAACUUAAAGGAAUUGACGGCUGAGAGNGCGACGACGACGACGAGGGAGAGG
rnacentral:rRNA from 1 species